GUAACCGUGGGAAGGAUGUAGCUGUUCACUUCAGAAAGAAUACAAUUAUUGCAAGAUGACUUCACCGGCUAAAGGCUAGCGAUGCUCAUAUCAGGUGGAGUUACAGAGGUCACUUACAUGUGGAGCAGAGAACUUCAGAGCCUCGCUUGUUAAAUGUUAUACUAAUGCAAUUCAGCGAUUGCCUGAAGACACCAUGGACCUAAGCUCAACUUUUCAAAGCACAGGAGUAGGUUAGUAUGCAGUCUACUUUUGUGCAAAU